GGGACACGUGGUAUCCUGUCUGAAUAUGGGGGGACCAUCCUCCAAGGCUAAAUACUCCUGACUGACCGAUAGUGAACCAGUACCGUGAGGGAAAGGCGAAAAGAACCCCGGCGAGGGGAGUGAAAAAGAACCUGAAACCGUGUACGUACAAGCAGUGGGAGCCUCUUAAUGGGGUGACUGCGUACCUUUUGUAUAAUGGGUCAGCGACUUAUAUUCUGUAGCAAGGUUAACCGAAUAGGGGAGCCGAAGGGAAACCGAGUCUUAACUGGGCGCUAAGUUGCAGGGUAUAGACCCGAAACCCGGUGAUCUAGCCAUGGGCAGGUUGAAGGUUGGGUAACACUAACUGGAGGACCGAACCGACUAAUGUUGAAAAAUUAGCGGAUGACUUGUGGCUGGGGGUGAAAGGCCAAUCAAACCGGGAGAUAGCUGGUUCUCCCCGAAAGCUAUUUAGGUAGCGCCUCGUGAAUUCAUCUCCGGGGGUAGAGCACUGUUUCGGCAAGGGGGUCAUCCCGACUUACCAACCCGAUGCAAACUGCGAAUACCGGAGAAUGUUAUCACGGGAGACACACGGCGGGUGCUAACGUCCGUCGUGAAGAGGGAAACAACCCAGACCGCCAGCUAAGGUCCCAAAGUCAUGGUUAAGUGGGAAACGAUGUGGGAAGGCCCAGACAGCCAGGAUGUUGGCUUAGAAGCAGCCAUCAUUUAAAGAAAGCGUAAUAGCUCACUGGUCGAGUCGGCCUGCGCGGAAGAUGUAACGGGGCUAAACCAUGCACCGAAGCUGCGGCAGCGACACUAUGUGUUGUUGGGUAGGGGAGCGUUCUGUAAGCCUGUGAAGGUGGCCUGUGAGGGUUGCUGGAGGUAUCAGAAGUGCGAAUGCUGACAUAAGUAACGAUAAAGCGGGUGAAAAGCCCGCUCGCCGGAAGACCAAGGGUUCCUGUCCAACGUUAAUCGGGGCAGGGUGAGUCGACCCCUAAGGCGAGGCCGAAAGGCGUAGUCGAUGGGAAACAGGUUAAUAUUCCUGUACUUGGUGUUACUGCGAAGGGGGGACGGAGAAGGCUAUGUUGGCCGGGCGACGGUUGUCCCGGUUUAAGCGUGUAGGCUGGUUUUCCAGGCAAAUCCGGAAAACCAAGGCUGAGGCGUGAUGACGAGGCACUACGGUGCUGAAGCGACAAAUGCCCUGCUUCCAGGAAAAGCCUCUAAGCAUCAGGUAACAUCAAAUCGUACCCCAAACCGACACAGGUGGUCAGGUAGAGAAUACCAAGGCGCUUGAGAGAACUCGGGUGAAGGAACUAGGCAAAAUGGUGCCGUAACUUCGGGAGAAGGCACGCUGAUAUGUAGGUGAAGCGACUUGCUCGUGGAGCUGAAAUCAGUCGAAGAUACCAGCUGGCUGCAACUGUUUAUUAAAAACACAGCACUGUGCAAACACGAAAGUGGACGUAUACGGUGUGACGCCUGCCCGGUGCCGGAAGGUUAAUUGAUGGGGUUAGCGGCAACGCGAAGCUCUUGAUCGAAGCCCCGGUAAACGG
rnacentral:rRNA from 1 species